UACUAUAGUUUUACACUAAAACUUAAAAAUGUGAUACCUCCCUGUUUAUUUAUUAUACAUGCUAAAUUUACUUUGUUUAGAUACAGCGCUUGACCUUAUGUUGUCACAUGUAAUAAUAGUACAACAAAUAAUUACGUUAUUCUUACCUCGACAUCAAACUUGUUGCAUAAUUUCAACCUUAUCACACUGUUACUUAUAACUUUUGUAGGAAAGUUCUCAGGCAAACGUCUUGCUUUCAUGUUAUUUUAAAUAUUUUUUAUAUUCGACAGCCUGCGAUACUGAACAACUACUGACAUAUACCUAGUCUGUUGUCAGACUAGGUAUAUGUCAGUAGUCACUCCAGAGAACCGAUCGAAGCGUCAGCAAUAACCGACCGAGGUAAGCCCCACAGUCCGUACAUCGCUCCGCCGCUGUUGCCAGUAUGAUACACGGCGUUGCGUGCCGGACCGUUACAUGGUAACGCUGUGGACUCCUUAAUAAAGUGCAGAGGGUUACGUGUCGGACCGUUACGAGAUAGCACCCUGCAUUGGAUAUUAUCCCGUUAUUCCCAACCUGACAACAUU